rnacentral:rRNA from 1 species
GCCGAACCGUCCAAACGUUGUUGGGAAUCACUGGGCUUAAAGGGCGCGUAGGCGGUCGAGCAAGUCUGGGGUGAAAUCUUUCGGCUUAACCGGAAAAUGGCCUCGGAUACUGCUUGGCUAGAGGGAGGUAGGGGCACGUGGAACUUCCGGUGGAGCGGUGAAAUGCAUUGAUAUCAGAAGGAACGCCGGUGGCGAAAGCGACGUGCUGGACCUCAUCUGACGCUGAGGCGCGAAAGCUAGGGGAGCAAACGGG